UUUUUUUUUUUUUUUUUUUUUUUAUGAUAGGCACACAGUGAGAGAGAGAGAGGCAGAGACACAGGCAGAGGGAGAAGCAGGCUCCAUGCACCGGGAGCCCGAUGUGGGAUUCGAUCCCGGGUCUCCAGGAUCGCGCUCUGGGCCAAAGGCAGGCGCCAAACCGCUGCGCCACCCAGGGAUCCCUUCACCUUAUAAUUAAUUCUGAAAAAUCACUCAAUAGUGAUAUAUGUAGAGACAGUCCUCGUUUUUCCCAGUACUCCAUUGUGUAGGGGUACCAUAAUAUAUUCACCUAGUAUCAUCCUAUAUUCAAACACUCCCUACUGAUGAACAUCUGGGUGGUUUCCAAUCUUUUGCUAUUAUACAUAGCACUAUGAUGAAUAAUCAUAGACCUACAUCUUAUUCUAAGAUACAUUCCUAGAAGUUGGACUAUUGGUCAAAUGUUAAAUUCAUAUGUAAGUUUGCUAGCUAUGGCCAAAUAUCCCUCUGCUUGUAUAGGAGCAUAGCGUUUUGCAAUCCAGUCUACAUGGGUUCCUAUUUUCUGUACAGCUUCACCAGUGGUGUAUGUUGUCAGACUUUUAGAUUUUUGCAAAUCUGUUGAUAAGUACUAUUUCAAUACAAUUUCCAUUUUAUUGCUCUAUUAUGAAUGAGAUUGGACAUAUUUUCACAUGUAUAUUGCAUAUGUAACAUUUUAUUUUUAAAAAUUAAGUAUAAAAGAAGGUUUGGAUUGAUAAAGUUUUGAUAUUGCUAAAGAAAAAAAUAUUCUGACACUUGUUGAAAUCUCCACAGGGAAGGAAGCCUUCAUUCAGGACAGUUGCAUAAAUGCAUUGCAACAGGGAGACAGAGCAGCUAGACUCUGAAUACAGCAAAGGCAGCUGAAGAUUUACAGCCAACCAGCAGAAUGAGGGGGGUUGGUCAGUGGGUGUAAAAUUACUUAGUGGAGUUCUUGAGAGCAGGGGAUUCUUGUUGAAGACUGGCCAAGGGUGUAGACAUCAAAGACAGGGAUAAGGAAUUUGCUCAGCUAUCAAGGGCAGGGACGUGAUCACUAGGCACACCUAGUGGGACUCUUGCUAAGAAGGGGAAAGCAAGCAGAAGGUAGGGCCCAGGGCACACAGUGCCCUCCAUGUAACAGGCCUCCCCUGUCUACUGAGCUUUUCCUGCUAACCUCCCCAGAACCAGCCACCCCCAACCUUCUCUGUCUUUAGUGAAGACCGUUGGCAAGCCUGUGGCUCAGGCCACAUCAGGAGCCAACUCAUUUCCCCCCAUCUCUCCCAAGUGCAUGCAAACUACACCCCUUAAACUUGUCUCCUUUGCUCUUGUUAAUCUCUCAGUCAAGAACUCAGAAGGGUAGGGGGAAAUUAUUUUGUCUCGCAUGCGUCAGGGAAUGUUCUCCAGCCGGAGUCCUAUAAAUUAGAUGGGACAAAAGUAACAAGGGAAAAACAAGUUUAUUAAAACGUGCAUAAUACAUGUAUAGAAGAGGAGCCUCAGUGACAACUACGCCAAAGAGGUAAUUAGAACUUGGGCUUCAAUACCAACAAAGGAAAAGACCUUUGGGGUUCU
rnacentral:lncRNA from 1 species